GUUGACCUCGGAUCAGGUAGGACUACCCGCUGAACUUAAGCAUAUCAAUAAGCGGAGGAAAAGAAACCAACAGGGAUUGCCCCAGUAACGGCGAGUGAAGCGGCAACAGCUCAAAUUUGAAAUCUGGCCCCAGGCCCGAGUUGUAAUUUGCAGAGGAUGCUUUUGGCGCGGUGCCUUCCGAGUUCCCUGGAACGGGACGCCAUAGAGGGUGAGAGCCCCGUACGGUUGGACACCAAGCCUUUGUAAAGCUCCUUCGACGAGUCGAGUAGUUUGGGAAUGCUGCUCUAAAUGGGAGGUACAUUUCUUCUAAAGCUAAAUAUUGGCCAGAGACCGAUAGCGCACAAGUAGAGUGAUCGAAAGAUGAAAAGCACUUUGAAAAGAGGGUUAAACAGCACGUGAAAUUGUUAAAAGGGAAGCGCUUGUGACCAGACUUGCGUCCGGUGAAUCACCCAGCUCUCGCGGCUGGGGCACUUCGCCGGCACAGGCCAGCAUUAGCUUGCCGUCGGGGACAAAAGCUUCAGGAACGUGGCUCCUCUCGGGGAGUGUUAUAGCCUGUUGCAUAAUACCCUUCGGCGGGCUGAGGUACGCGCUCCGCAAGGAUGCUGGCGUAAUGGUCAUCAGCGAC
rnacentral:rRNA from 1 species